GUCCUUGUAGCGCAAUGGAUUGUGCGUUGGAUUUCUAAUCCAAAGGUCGGGGGUUCGAAUCCCACCUGGGAUG
rnacentral:tRNA from 1 species